rnacentral:rRNA from 1 species
AUGGUGAGACAAGGGCCGUUCGACGGACUGUUCGGCUUCUCUCAGGGCGCCCUCCUGUCGGCCGCGCUUGUUGGGCUCCAGCAACAAGGGCUGGCCUUGAACAGGGUUCCUAGGGUGAAGUACGUUAUGAUCAUAUCCGGUGCGAAGAUCCAGUCCCCGGCAUUGGCCGCCAAGGCGUACGCCAACAAGAUCAACUGCGCUUCGCUUCAUUUCAUUGGCGACGGUGACUUCGUGAAAGCCCACGGCGAGGAGCUGGCGGACUCGUUCGUGGAUCCGCUUGUCAUACGCCACCCGGCCGGGCACACGGUCCCCAGACUCGACGAGAAGGGCCUCCAGGCGAUGCUCAGCUACCUUGACAAGAUCGAAAGGGAUCUGGCGAGAGAUUAA